UCCGCACGAGCGCACCCUUGUUCCUUAGUUGCCAGCAUUCAGUUGGGCACUCUAACGUAUACUGCCGGUGACAAACCGGAGGAAGGUGGGGACGACGCUCAAGUCAUCAUGGCCCUUACGUGUAGGGCUACACACGCGCUACAAUGGCAUAUACAGAGGGAUGCGAGACAGUGAUGUGGAGCGGACCCCUUAAAGUAUGUCGUAGUCCGGAUUGGAGUCUGCAACUCGACUCCAUGAAGUCGGAAUCGCUGGUAAUCNCAGGUCAGAAUACUGCGGUGAAUACGUUCCCGGGCCUUGUACACACCGCCCGUCACACCAUGGGAGUGGGAUGCAAAAGAAGUAGUUAGUUUAACCUUCGGGAGAACGAUUACCACUUUGUGUUUCAUGACUGGGGUGAAGUCGUAACAAGGUAACCCUAGGGGAACCUGGGGUUGGAUCACCUCCUU
rnacentral:rRNA from 1 species